GACGAACGCUGGCGGCGUGCUUAACACAUGCAAGUCGAACGGAAAGGCCCUGCUUUUGUGGGGUGCUCGAGUGGCGAACGGGUGAGUAACACGUGAGUAACCUGCCCUUGACUUUGGGAUAACUUCAGGAAACUGGGGCUAAUACCGGAUAGGAGCUCCUGCUGCAUGGUGGGGGUUGGAAAGUUUCGGCGGUUGGGGAUGGACUCGCGGCUUAUCAGCUUGUUGGUGGGGUAGUGGCUUACCAAGGCUUUGACGGGUAGCCGGCCUGAGAGGGUGACCGGCAACAUUGGGACUGAGAUACGGCCCAGACUCGUACGGGAGGAAGCAGUGGGGAAUAUUGCACAAUGGGCGGAAGCCUGAUGAAGAAACGCCGCGUGCGGGAUGACGGCCUUCGGGUUGUAACCCGCUUUCGCCGGUGACGAAGCGUGAGUGACGGGAAUGGGUAAAGAAGCACCGGCGAACUACGU
rnacentral:rRNA from 1 species